rnacentral:rRNA from 1 species
GUGCGGUCCGUGGAGAAACAUCCAGGACCACUCCUGUCCGAGGGCCG